AUUGAACGCUGGCGGCAGGCCUAACACAUGCAAGUCGAGCGAGCGGCGGACGGGUGAGUAAUGCCUGGGCUUUGCCCAGUCGAGGGGGAUAACAGUUGGAAACGACUGCUAAUACCUCAUACUAUUUGCUUGUUCAUGUGGGAUUUGCCAGUUGGUGAGGUAAUGGCUCACCAAGGAGACGAUGCCUAGCUGAUCUGAGAGGGUGAUCAGCCACACUGGAACUGAGACACGGUCCAGACUCCUACGUGAGGCAGCAGUGGGGAAUAUUGCGCAAUGGGCGAAAGCCUGAUACAGCCAGGCCGCGUGAGUGAAGAAGGCCUUCGGAUUGUAAAACACUGUCAGCAGGGAGGCGGUACUCAAAGAAAAAGCACCGGCUAACUCCGUGCCAGCAGCCGCGGUAAUAC
rnacentral:rRNA from 1 species